rnacentral:rRNA from 1 species
GAACGGGUGAGUAAUACGUGAGUAACCUGCCCUUGACUCUGGGAUAAGCCUGGGAAACUGGGUCUAAUACUGGAUACUACCUCUUGCCGCAUGGUGGGUGGUGGAAAGGGUUUUACUGGUUUUGGAUGGGCUCACGGCCUAUCAGCUUGUUGGUGGGGUAAUGGCUCACCAAGGCGACGACGGGUAGCCGGCCUGAGAGGGUGACCGGCCACACUGGGACUGAGACACGGCCCAGACUCCUACGGGAGGCAGGCAGUGGGGAAUAUUGCACAAUGGGCGGAAGCCUGAUGCAGCGACGCCGCGUGAGGGAUGACGGCCUUCGGGUUGUAAACCUCUUUCAGUAGGGAAGAAGCGAGAGUGACGGUACCUGCAGAAGAAGCGCCGGCUAACUACGUGCCAGCAGCCGCGGUAAUACGUAGGGCGCAAGCGUUGUCCGGAAAUUAUUGGGCGUAAAGAGCUCGUAGGCGGUUUGUCGCGUCUGCUGUGAAAGCCCGGGGCUCAACCCCGGGUCUGCAGUGGGUACGGGCAGACUAGAGUGCAGUAGGGGAGACUGGAAUUCCUGGUGUAGCGGUGAAAUGCGCAGAUAUCAGGAGGAACACCGAUGGCGAAGGCAGGUCUCUGGGCUGUUACUGACGCUGAGGAGCGAAAGCAUGGGGAGCGAACAGGAUUAGAUACCCUGGUAGUCCAUGCCGUAAACGUUGGGCACUAGGUGUGGGGGACAUUCCACGUUUUUCCGCGCCGUAGCUAACGCAUUAAGUGCCCCGCCUGGGGAGUACGGCCGCAAGGCUAAAACUCAAAGGAAUUGACGGGGGCCCGCACAAGCGGCGGAGCAUGCGGAUUAAUUCGAUGCAACGCGAAGAACCUUACCAAGGCUUGACAUUCACCGGACCGCCCCAGAGAUGGGGUUUCCCUUCGGGGCUGGUGGACAGGUGGUGCAUGGUUGUUCGUCAGCUCGUGUCGUGAGAUGUUGGGUUAAGUCCCGCAACGAGCGCAACCCUCGUUCUAUGUUGCCAGCACGUGAUGGUGGGGACUUCAUAGGAGACUUGCCGGGGUUCAACUUCGGAAGGAAGUGUUGGGGAUGACGUCAAAUCAUCAUGCCCCUUAUGUCUUGGGCUUCACGCAUGCUACAAUGGCCGGUACAAAGGGUUGCGAUACUGUGAGGUGGAGCUAAUCCCAAAAAGCCGGUCUCAGUUCGGAUUGAGGUCUGCAACUCGACCUCAUGAAGUCGGAGUCGCUAGUAAUCGCAGAUCAGCAACGCUGCGGUGAAUACGUUCCCGGGCCUUGUACACACCGCCCGUCAAGUCACGAAAGUUGG